CUGGCUUCCUUACCGUCUCUUAUACGGUUGAUUUUGGUCAUUUUUAGCUUCACAGAGAGAGAGAGAGAGAGAGAGAGAGAGAGACGUGAGGCCCUCCUAGCUGCUAGAUAGGGUUCCUAUGACUUGUAGUUGGUGUUUUCUGCUGAACGUUCUUUUGCUUUUUCUUCCUCUUUUGAAGUGUUUCUCAAGUUCUUCCCGUGGGCUGCAUCUUGGGUCUUGCAAGUUACCCUUUUUGGUUCUUCCACUUCAUUUUCUCUCUCUCGCUAGGGUUUGAAGAUCUGUGGGGAGUUUCAUGCUGUGAUAUUGAAGUGAGUCUUGAUUUCCCUGGUUUUGACUGAUUUCUAGGGUUUGCGUGGGAAGAGAGAGGGGAUUAGUGUGGAGGGAGUCUGGAGCUCCUUUAAGUCCAAUAGAGGUUCUUGGCUGGGUGAGUUGAGCUGCUGGUCUAUGGAUCCCACACUCCUAUCCCAUUAAAUCUACUCAUUCUCGAAUGGAAGCCCAUAAAAAGAAGGAAAAAAGAGAAAUGAAGAAUACAACAAAGAAGGAUGAAAAAUUGGGAUAGGCUUGUGGCUUGCAUAUGCCAGGAGCUUCACUUGCCCCUUCUGGUCUGAAUCCUUUUUUGGAUUGAAGGGAGCUCUACACUUUUGUUGUAAUCUUCCCCUCUCUCUCUCUCUUGCAUGAGAUGAUCUUUUUUUUCUGAAGUGUUAAUUUUUCUGCAGUAGAUUCUCAUGACGUUUAUCAGAUCUGGUUCUUUAAACAAUAGAGAGCUAGUUGGAAAAUCUUUUGAGCUGCCCUCUUCUGUAUUGGAGUUUUCGAUUUUUAUUUUUUUUCCUUUUCUGGAUCUGGCUGAGUCAAAAGCAUUUUGGGAGCUUUCAAGAUUGCUUCAUGUGAGUUGUGUCCUAAGGAUGACUGGGCAUGCUGCUGCUUCCUAGAUACUCUCGCAUGAUGUGUGUGUAACUGUUAACUGACUGUUCUUGUGUCCUAAUAAAUGGGGUGUUUUUUGAAUUAACGUUUCUCCGGAUCCUGGAUCCUGUUUCAGGAUCCUCAGAUCGGGUGAAUCUCUCUCUCUCGGUUAGGUUCAUCUUACACUGUAGUUUAUAACUUACACGACUUGCUCCAUUUUUGUCAAGAAAUAUCGAAAGCCUUGGUCUUCGAAGCACGUUGUUUUCAUUAAAACAAAAUGGGACCAUGCUCGUCAAUUCGACCUCGGUUUUUCCAGCUCUUGAUGUAGCCGUAGUUUCUCUUGUGGACCAGCUUCUAAGAUGGAAUUUAUUAGUUGUUUCUUUUUGCGUUUUGUCUUUGUUCCUUGCUGGGAAAUUGCUCAGUUCACUUUGGUGUUUUAGGACCGAGUGUGUUUUGUUGUAAUCGCGCUUUUCUUGACCUAAAUUCGGAGAACUAAGUUGUGGCUGUUCAAAUGGGAUAGGUAUGAGAAAUCAAGUGAAUGUAAGGUGUUAGCAAUUGGUACGUUAUGGGGGACUUGGCACUAUAUACUGGCAGCAGAUGCUUUUUCAUCUACUCUUUCGAGCAAUCUUCUUGUUGGGUCAAACUGGUCUGUGCGCUCCUCAGUAAUUCGGUGACAAUGAUGCAUGAUGAGUUUUGACCUAGGGUAAUAGAUGUUAUGGCUGUAGGAAUGGAGGAUGAUCGUGAAGAUGCAGAAGCUCGAGUCGCAGGGUUUUGAAGAAAUGUCUGUGUUUAAGCGGUUUGUAAGAUAGAGAGAAAUGUAGUUUUGAAGCUUGUGCUAUUGUUUUGUAAGAGUGAAAUCUUUCGUAUGUGUUUUAUUUUUUUUUUGGCAAUGUACAAAUGUAAUACGAAGACAUUGAAUUUAAGAUUCGUGACCCAUCUAAGUGAUGAUAUAA